AUUGAACGCUGGCGGUAGGCUUAACACAUGCAAGUCGAACGCCCCGCAAGGGGAGUGGCAGACGGGUGAGUAACACGUGGGAACGUACCCUUUGGUUCGGAAUAACUUGGGGAAACUCAAGCUAAUACCGGAUAAGCCCUUAUGGGGAAAGGUUUACUGCCGAAGGAUCGGCCCGCGUCUGAUUAGCUAGUUGGUGAGGUAAUGGCUCACCAAGGCGACGAUCAGUAGCUGGUCUGAGAGGAUGAUCAGCCACACUGGGACUGAGACACGGCCCAGACUCCUACGGGAGGCAGCAGUGGGGAAUAUUGGACAAUGGGGGCAACCCUGAUCCAGCCAUGCCGCGUGAGUGAUGAAGGCCUUAGGGUUGUAAAGCUCUUUUACCCGGGACGAUAAUGACUGUACCGGGAGAAUAAGCCCCGGCUAACUUCGUGCCAGCCGCCGCCGUAAGAC
rnacentral:rRNA from 1 species